rnacentral:rRNA from 1 species
GACGAACCGAGCGAACGUUGUUCGGAAUCACUGGGCUUAAAGGGCGCGUAGGCGGGCGUCAAGUCAGGGGUGAAAGCCCCCAGCUCAACUGGGGAAGUGCCUCUGAUACUGGAUGUCUCGAGGGGGAUAGGGGCGUGCGGAACUUCCGGUGGAGCGGUGAAAUGCGCAGAUAUCAGGAAGAACACCGAUGGCGAAGGCAGUUCUCUGGGACGGUACUGACGCUGAGACGCGAAAAGCGUGGGGAGCGAACAGG